AUAGUUUGCUGAGAAUGAUGGUUUCCAGCUUCAUCCAUGUCCCUACAAAGGACAUGAACUCAUCAUUUUUUAUGGCUGCAUAGUAUUCCAUGUUGUAUAUGUGCCACAUUUUCUUAAUUCAGUCUAUCAUUGUUGGACAUUUGGGUUGGUUCCAAGUCUUUGCUAUUGUGAAUAGUGCUGCAAUAAACAUACGUGUGCAUGUGUCUUUAUAGCAGCACAGUGAGAUACCAUCUCACACCAGUUAGAAUGGCGAUCAUUAAAAAGUCAGGAAACAACAGGUGCUGGAGAGGAUGUGGAGAAAUAGGAACACUUUUACACUGUUGGUGGGACUGUAAACUAGUUCAACCAUUAUGGAAGUCAGUGUGGUGAUUCCUCAGGGAUCUAGAACUAGAAAUACCAUUUGACCCAGCAAUCCCAUUACUGGCUAUAUACCCAAAGGAUUAUAAAUCAUUGAAAGGUUUUAAACAGGAAGUGGGAGACAAUGUGUUUAAAUAAGUAUUUUAGGCCAGGCGCAGUGGCUCAUGCCUGUAAUCCCAGCACUUUGAGAGGCCGAGCAGAAGUACUGCAAGCAGCUUGGGCAACCAGGCGAGCAGUGGUGCCAUUAAGGUAGAAGAAGGGUUGUUUGUUUGGAGUGAGGUUGGAGUCUGAUAAGUUCCCUUUUGAAGUGCUGUUCGAGCAGCCUGUGGAAACUUCCAGGGGGUGCUGUUCCAUGGGCUCCUGGGUGUCCAGGCAAGAGGUCAAGGAGGACCCAGAUCAAUAUUUGGGAAUAAAAUGAGGAGUAAAUAUUGAAGAUUAAGCAUAUGGCUGAGAUUAGUGGUUGUCAAAGAGAUGUGCUCAUUAGAGCUUAGGAUCCUGUGAAGAAGCUUCAGAAGCCAGCAACAGGAACCGAGAGGGGGUGUGGACACCCUUCCCAUCCCUAUUUCUACCAGUGAAGAGCACCAGGAUUCAGUUAACAGUUCCACUAGUUCCGCUUCUAAACAAAGAGUUUAAAAUGGAUCGAUGCCCAAAUGGAUGGAUGGAUGGAUGACAGGUGGAUGGAAGGAUGAACGAAUGCACAGAUGGACAGAUGGGUGGACAGACAAAGGAAUAAAUAAAGUGGACCCACUGGACAGAGAAGACUUUGGUUCAAAAGGCUCAUAAGGUGCCCCAGGCACCCUAACCCCCAACCAGGUGUACCCCAUAAGAUUACAGGAUUGCCUUCCGAUUGUCCCUCCCUGAUAGGGAUGAAAAUUCUGCCAAAAUGUCUUCCUUGGGUAAUGUUUGUUCAGGAGUUAAUUGGGCAAUUCAGAGACUCCAAUCGGGAAACACAGGGCCUGCUGCCAGAUGACCUUGAGAGAAGCAAGAGCCAAGUCCCUGGACCCUGAU
rnacentral:lncRNA from 1 species